ACGAGUGAGAAAUUAUUUCUGUUAGCAUAGAGGGUCUGCUCAGUACUCACUCACUCACUCUAUACUGCUUAUCAAAAUUACACAGAUGAGCUGUGGCUGUACUUCUAAUCCCUUCUCCCUGCAAUUCAACACUCCUCUGUCUCUGCCUAACAAUGCGCAGAAGAAAAGGGUAUUACCAAGGGUUUCAAAAGCUGUAGCUUACUAUGGAUUGAAGACACCUCCUUAUCCACUUGACGCGUUAGAGCCAUAUAUGAGUCGGAAGACAUUAGAGAUGCACUGGGGAGAACAUCAUCGAAACUACGUGGAAGGAUUGAAUAAACAACUGGCAAAGGAUGAUGUUUUGUAUGGUUAUACAUUGGAUGAGCUUGUCAAAGUAACUUAUAAUAAUGGAAACCCGUCUCCUGAAUUCAACAAUGCCGCUCAGGUCUGGAAUCAUGAUUUUUUCUGGGAAUCCAUGCAACCAGGAGGAGGGAAUAUGGCUGAACUUGGGGUGCUUGAGCAGAUUGAAAAAGAUUUUGGUUCCUUCACAAAUUUCAAAGAGAAGUUUAUAGAGGACGCUCUAACACUAUUUGGCUCUGGCUGGGUUUGGCUUGUCUUGAAGAGAGAAGAGAGACAGCUUGCUAUAAUUAAAACAUCAAAUGCCAACAAUCCAAUAGUAUGGGAUGAUAUUCCCAUCCUCUGUCUAGAUAUGUGGGAGCAUGCUUAUUAUCUGGAUUACAAGAAUGACAGAGCGAAGUAUGUGAAUGCCUUCAUGGAUCACCUUGUCUCUUGGGAUGCAGCAAUGGCGCGCAUGGCACGCGCAGAGGCCUUUGUUAAUUUAAAUGAACCAAAAAUCCCAGUUGCUUGAAUAUUUUGGUUCCGGCAAUACAUGAUCAAAUAGCGUGGAGAGCCUUCCGAGUGAUUCUGACAAUGUAAAAUGUCCAAUAUUGAUCAUUGGCGCAGCAAAGUAAUUGAAACAGAUUGGUUGAUUAUGAAGCAGCAUAUGGGCAUAAUUCAGAGUAAAUUGAUGGAUCUGAAUCGUGGAUAACAAGCAAAGUCCCUUUUGAAGAUUUUGGAAAUAAACAUUGUCCAAAGUAAAUGGUGGUUACAUCAUUGAGACCAACAAUUGCUGGCAGAGGCGGAUCCACUUAUAAAAAGGUGGCCAAUGCGUGAUUAACCUAAUUGGAUAAGGCGUCUUAUCUCCG